AGAGAACUGGCCACUCUGUUGAUAAAGACUGCGCCCUCCACACCUGGAGAACAGCCUGGAGCAGCUCUCACAGCAGCUCAGACAGGGGCCAGAGGGGUAUGACGGUUUUGAGUUUGGAGAUAGCUGGGGACGAUGGCAGGGUGCGCUGUCGGGCCAGAUUGAGAUGUGAGGGAUUGCGAGGCACCAAGGGACACCCUGAGCGCCAGGUUGGGCACAGCUGGGAAGAAUCCAGGAGGGAGAGAAGGAACAUUCCCGAAGAAGGAACAAUUUCAGAGGGAUGACUGCGAGUCGGGAUGAGGUCCAGCACACCCGGGGUGGCAGUGCACGCUGGGGACACAGGCAGUUCUUAGCACCACUGCCAACUGAAAGCACAUUCUACUAUGGACAGGAGAAAGCCAAGAUGCCGAAGGCAGCAAGUGGUUGGAGAGGCCAGGUUUGGGUGCAGGGCCCCCCACCUCUUCCCGGAGUCAGACUGGGGCAUGA
rnacentral:lncRNA from 1 species